AACACUGCCAGUGCUUGCAAACUUAGAGGAUUUAAAUUCAUCACUAGUGUUUUGAAAUCCCAGGAUGUGUUCCUGAGACAGUCUUCGUUGUUUUAUUGUCCUGGGCAUUCUGCGUCCUUUCAGUCUGGAGAUUUUUAGCUUCCUUUGCUUCUGAGUCUCUAUUUGCAGUGCCCCGAUGCUAGAAACCUGAGAUCCCAUGGCUUCUCCAGAAUGGAGGCUUGGGCAUUGUCAGCACCCUCCUUCCAAGAGUUGAAAGUUCCUCUCUUCUGGAAGACAAACUGAUGUGAGGAUGAGGAGGAGUCAGAAAUAAACUCAUUCAACUAAUACUUGAGUAGCUACUGUUGCCUACAGUAUGUUCAAGGUUUUGCUAGUCAUCCAUAUGAUCACUAUUGACAGCUUGGGAGACUCACACAGGCUAGUGAAUUUCAGGAAUUAACAGAAACUGAACAGCUUCUAUAAUCCUGCAGGAAGUAACCUCUGGAUGGCACAAUGGAGUCUCACUCUGUUGCCCAGGCUGGAGUGCAAUGGCACAAUCUCAGCUCACCACAAGCUCCGCCUCCUGCGUUCAAGUGAUUCUCCUGCCUUAGCCUUCUGAGUAGCUGGUAUUACAGGUGCCUGCUACCAUGGCCAGCUAAGUUUUGUAUUUUUAGUAGAGACAGGGUUUCACCAUGUUGGCCAGGCUGUUCUCAAACUCCUGACCUCAAGUGAUCUGCCCGCCUAAGCCUCCCAAAGUGCUGGGAUUACAAGCAUGAGCCGCCGCACCCGGCCUCUGCUAAGUUUACAACCUGCAAAUUCUAUCCAAAAUAUAUACAUAUUUUCUUGUAUUUUUCAUUUAAUGCACCAAAAUAAAAAAAAAAUUGUUUUUCAUUUUCUGCUGGUUAUUACUUAGAGGCUAGAUUUAUUUUGUAAACUAUGCCCUAAAUUG
rnacentral:lncRNA from 1 species